AGACUUCAAAAAUGAAGGAAGAGGAUUUGAAUCUGAAGUCUCCUAUCCCAUUAUUCUACGAGGAGUGUUGGUGAUUGUACUGAAAUGCCAUUUUUAAGAAAGAAAGCCUUCUGGACUGAAAACUGGGGCAAUGUAGGAACUGUAACCACAUAAUGGCUGCAGGUCAGUGCAUCCAUCCAAAUGGAACAAAGUACAAAAGCCACCCUGUCCCCAAAGUAAGUAUUGGAAGUGCCAGAAACAUGAUAAGAAAAUAGCCUGUGCUCAACAAACUGCUCUUAGGACAUGACACUGAAGAUCCUGUCCCACAUUUUCUCCCAGGCUUGCAUGACAUGGUAAGGAAGCUCCACUUGCCAUCCUUCCUCCCACUAAAGAAAGGGAUGUUUCCCACCACUGACUCUGAGGUCUACCACUCCCCUCCAAGAGAGCGAGGCAGUCCACAGACUCUGGGCACCCACCUCCGGAGGCUCAACAUUCCUCAAUCAACCCUUUAGCAAGGCUAGUUCUUCACUGGUAACUGGAAACACCCUUUAGACAGACAGAAGUAGACAGGUGCAAAGGGAAAACAACAGUUUGUUCUAUGUUUUGUUCUGUCAGCAUUUAUACUUAAUUUUACCAGUCCAAAUGGUGGUGACUUUUGAAUGGACAUAGAAAAUUGAUUUCUCCUGCUGGUUUGAUUUUAACUGGGAAAAUAAAGAGCCCCAACAAAGCCUAAAACGAAAGAGUUCAGACUUAGAAAAGGGAAUAUACUGGCCCAGAAAGUGAGCUCUAUUACAUUCACAUGUUAUUUCUAAUAUACAUAAAUAUACUCUGAAG